UUCCACUUUCGGGUAUCGACAUGGUCAG
rnacentral:sRNA from 1 species